UAUUAUUAUGAUUUUUUUAUUGAUAAAAAAAAAAAAACUAUGUACUUUACAAAGUUAUCAACUUCAUUUUAUUCACAAUGAUUUAUAAAAAAUAUAUAAUACUAAUAUACAAAGAAACAGCUAUUUAUAUGAAUAGUAAUAAUAACCGUCAUCACGUAGACUAUACAUUAGACACUGUAUAGCCAUCAUACUAAGACUAUACAUAAAUAAUAAAAAUCUUACGUUACGGACGUUUUUCCCCGAUUAGGGUUCCCCUCCGCAUCGUCCCAUAAGGAACUUCGUUCCAAAAUAAUCUCUGAAAAUGCAAUCGAAUCUACAGAGGUUCCAGGUAACAAGAACUACUUCAGCGGCAGGCGGUCCGACACGUCUGCAUACGGAUUAAUAACAUCAUAAAAGACGAACGUCUAAACUUUGUCGUCGCAACGCAAGCAGGUCUCACUGUAUCACGCUAGUCCGCCAUUCGAGCUUACACAGCAAACUCGUGUGCAGUCAUGUUGCAAAUAAUAAUAUAUUGUUUACUGAUGUUCUUGACUUGCCUCGCUUUGUUCGACAUCGUGAGGCUGUGCAUGAACGACGAAGACACAACAAAAAGAAAACUGCGACUCUGGUCGGUGUUGCCAUACGAAGUGAUCAAGAACAAGAUGAAGGGUAUCAACCAGCUGGAGGAAGAGCAGAUCAAAUCAGAGACUGAAAGCAAACCUUACAUAAUAAGCGAAACCGUCUAAUAAAAUUACAUUAAAUUUUUUUAGUCAUUAAUUAAUAGCACAAAAUUCGAAUGUAAUUUGCUCAAGAGCAAUAAAAAUUCAAGAGUGUUGAAAUUAUAUUCCGAAACUAAAAUGAUAUUUGAAAAUUUUGGUCAUAGUAAUAUGUAUUAUUGCGACAACGAACGUUAUGUGGAGUUGAGCGUAGACGAGCGAGCAUACUCGAAUGUGUGUGCAGCUGUAUCUGUUGUAGGGAUGAUCGAUAUUAAUAAAACAUCGAUGUUAAUAUCGAUGUUAGCAUCGAUUUAAAACUAUCGAUGUACGAUAAAGAUCGAUAGUAAAACAUCGAUGUCUAAAAACAUUGAUGUUUUUGGUAGGAAAUAAAAGGGUUUAUUUUAUUUAUUAUAAGUGUUUAUUCAUUAAAACUACGUUUUACGAAUUAUAAUCGAGCGUUUCAUUAUUGGACUUGACUCCGACAUUACACUUCACAAUUUACAUUUUCUUAAUUUCACACACAUUUAUGUAGUACGGCUUACUUCGAUUACGUUGAUCAGUAUCAUCUAGUUUAAAAUAGUUGUACUAUCUAGGGGAUAUAUGGACGUUUCGAUUAUUCGAUAUUUUAUUCUCAUACAAUCGAUGUGUGGAUAUCAUCGAAACCAAAACGUCGACGAUGUUAAAAUCAUCGAUGUUUUUCAGCUAAACAUCGCUGCUUAUUCAACAUCGACGAAUAUCGAUCAUCCCUAAUCUGUACCUGUGUUGUGGACUUAAAGCCAAAGCAAUGACAAAUAGCAGCAUAAGCGCUAAGUUAAUUACGUGCUUAGAGAGAAGCAGUCAAUAUACGGACCAGCGGAGUGGCAUCUCAUCAAAACAUAGUCACGCAUCGCGAGAUACCAUUUGUUUAUGUCUCGGCAUUAAUUAUGUUCAAUUCUGUUACAAAGUAAAUAUGGAUUUCGGUUUGACGGAUAGAAUAUGAAUUGGUUUUACUAAAGUUAUUGACGUGCUUGUCUGUGCAUCUGUCAAUCCAUUUAUUUCAAAUCCAAAAUGGCGGACAAUAAUACUAAUCAGAGAUAUUGAUAUAAGGCUAUAACCGGAAAGAUGUUUUGUCUUUUGUUGGGUCUGUCAGUAUGGAACGUUUUAAAUAGACAUAUUUGUCCUGGCUAUGAUAUACAUAUGUAUAAUAAAAUUAUUUAUUGCAAUUAAAAUAAUUAAAUCAAAAUUUAACCGUAAUAAAUAAAAGUCUUAAUAAUAAUUUCACUUUGGUAUUUUAUUUAUUAAAAUUGUCAAUUUGUUACAGUUAUCGGUCGUUGGAGCUCGAGAAAAUUCAGUUCGCGUGAUUGGUUCAAGAAUAUGAGUUCUGUAUCGGCUAUUUGCUGCGAUAUACUUAUUUAACAUUUCAUAAAAUGAAUGUACAUACACAAGCAUAGCAUUAAUAAUUGAACACAAGUCUUUUUUUUCUAUAGCCUAAAUGGGUGGAAGAGCUCACGGCCCACCUGGUUUUAAGUGGUGACCGGGGCCCAUAGACACGAACGACGUGCAUGUCUCCACCCACCUCGAGACAUAAGUUGUAAGGUCUCAAUUUUAACAGUACAACGUCUGCCUCAUCCUUUAAACCGAAAGGCAUGACUGCUUCACGGCAGAAAUAGGCAGGGUGGUGGUACAUGCCCGUGCGGACUCACAAGUUGUCCUACCAUCAGCAAAGUCUUAGCAUCUAUUGCUAUUGUUAUUCACAGACGUUACCAAUUUUCGAUUAUUUCGAACAUAUACAACCCGAACACGCUGCGUCCAUUUGUAAGCAAAUGAACAGUAACUUGUGAACAGAUGAGAAAAACUUGUAUCGAUCAUACUUGAUUACUUCAAUCACGUUUCGUUCGAUAUCCAGUCGAAGUCUGUUUCCUUUAUCGAGAUAUUUGAUGUUUGGAGCCUGGGCUGAAUACCUUCUUCUCUCGAUGUGUGCAUCCGUUGCAUUCUACCUAAUAAAUACUAUUGUCCAAUUAGAAUCCAAACCCUGGACAUUGCUGGACACACUUCUCUUUAUGAACAAAGGCGUGUUGUACGACUGGUCACGUAGGUCCAUUCGGAGAACCGAUCAGGACGGGAGCACCGCUGUGCUGUACAAUUGAGGUUUUGACCUCAUUGUACCUUACUUAUUCUUUUUUCUACCUAUUUGCUGGUAGCCUAAGAUGCUAUUCCAGCUUGGCCCGGACGGUGAUCUCUCGGGGCUCAAACUGGAAGUGUUGCUAACACUGGUCCUAGCAAAAGCAAUCUUUCGCAGAAUCUACCACCAGAUCGGAAACGGGACCACCUGAGAAGAUCCGGCCAAAAACUCAGUGGGCAGUGUAUGUGGGUGAAUUUGCUUGUCGAGCCCUUCGUCGCAAGCGACGGAAUGUUAUCCCUCUGUUUGGGCAUGACACCUCGGUAUUUGGCCUUCGAAGCCUACGAUAUGGGCAGGUCAUUCCGAUAGAGGCACCCGUCACGUGCGGACGUGCUCAUCGUCCACUCGAUCGCCCGGUCUUUGUUCGCCCGGCUUUUGUUAGCCCGGCCAUUGUUCGCGCGGCCUGUGUUUGUGGUACAUCUGCCGACUAAGUGCUCUUUCUGGAAGUUUUUAUUUGUUUUGUUUCCUUUUGUUGUUUCUGUGUUCGUGGUACAUCUGCCGACAAAGUGGUUUCCUGCAAGUAUUUAUUUGUUUUGUUUCUUUUCGUAAUUUCUGUUUUGUUGUGCUUUUUCUUUGUCCUGUAGUAAUCGCGCCGCAUUGCCACCUGUGUUCAAUAGAACCGCUCAGGUCCGAGAAGUUGGGGCCUCGCCGCAAGGCGAGUGUUUUCAAGACCCGGGGCCGCCCCACCUGGGUACUCAGCGAUCAUGGACGCUGUAUUCGCGGAAUUCCUCCGACUUCGCCACCCACAGCUCGCCUCGGAGUUUUUGGCCUUCAAGGCCAAUCACACUGCGAGCCCUCUCGAGGACUCCGCCGCGCUCGCUGCUCCUGCGUCGCCUGUACCUGCGUGCAGAGCUUCUGCAUUGAGCACCGCAGCCUCUGUCGUGCCUGCCGCUCCCGUGUCGCCUAUACUGGCGAGAAAAGCUGCUGCGUCGUCCGCCGUGACCAUCGUUUCAGCUGAGCGAUCAUCCGCGGCCUCCGUCGCGCCCUCUAAAACACCUACACUUGCUCGUAGGUCGCCUGCACCCGCCUCCUCGUGCUCCGACUCUGACUCGGACAUGGAGGUCGACCUCGCCCCCGCCUCAUCGACGGAUGGAUUCACCCUGGUACAGAAGGGUAAGAAGCGUGCCGCGGAGUCUCGAGCUCCCGCGGCCGCUAAAAUUAGCAAAGCCGUGAACGCGUCGCGCCCCCGCCCUCAGACUCCCGUUGCGCCCCCAGCCCGUGCCACUCCGUCGCCGCGUCCGGUGGCACAAAAUAAAACCCAGACCCCUCCCCCGGUUAUCCUUCAGGAGAAGGCAGCUUGGGAUCGAGUUUGCCUGGCCCUUAAGGCCAAAAAUAUAAAUUUCACGAAUGCCCGUAACCUCGCGAACGGCAUUCAAAUUAAGGUUCAAACACCCGACGACCAUAGGGCCCUCUCUUCUUACCUCCGUAAGGAGCGUAUAAGUUUCCAUACGUAUACGCUCCAGGAGGAGCGCGAACUCCGCGUUGUAAUACGCGGAAUCCCUAAAGAGUUAGAUGUAGAGCUCGUAAAAGCCGACCUGUUAGAACAAGGCCUACCAGUGAAUUCUGUGCACCGUAUGCACACCGGUCGCGGUAGGGAGCCAUAUAAUAUGGUUCUAGUCGCUCUCCAGCCUACCCCCGAGGGUAAGAAAAUCUUUAACACACAGACCGUCUGUAGGCUCUCUGGUAUCGCUGUCGAAGCCCCCCAUAAAAAAGGCACUCCUAGCCAGUGCCAUAACUGUCAAUUGUACGGGCACUCUUCCCGUAACUGUCACGCGCGCCCCCGAUGUGUUAAGUGUUUGGGCGAUCACGCCACGGCCCUCUGCGCUCGCGACCAAAAAACCGCGACGGAACCGCCUAGCUGCGUCCUGUGUCGAACACAGGGUCACCCCGCGAAUUACCGUGGUUGCCCCCGAGCCCCUAAAAUAAAUCGCCGCGUCGCCCGCCAAAACCGCCUCCGAGCUUCCGGCCCAGACAUCAAAGCCUCGGCACCCUCUGCGUCGCAGGCUAAGCCAGCGUUCGUUCCGGCGGCGGUGCCCAGUGUCUCGGCCUGGGCAAAACCGCUGCCGUACACGAACACGGCUACAACUCCCUCCUCCGCGAUUCGUCCCGCCCCCGCGACUCGUCCCUCUCCCGCGACUUGCCCUCCGACCGCGUCCGACAAUCUCGCUUUAGCGAUCGACUUCUUUCAGUCGAUCAACUUUGAGCGCGUUAACGCUUUGGGCGACGCCAUUCGCGCUGCCUCCACUGCACAACACUUUAUCGCCGUUGUGCAGGAAUACGCCGACGUAUACGCGUCAUUAAAUACGUACGUCCUCCCCUCACUCCGCCGGUAAUCAAUGGCGUAUAUAAGUAGAAUAAAGCCCCUAUCCGUAACGAUAGGAUUUUUUAACGCUUACGG